rnacentral:rRNA from 1 species
UACGUAGGGUGCAAGCGUUGUCCGGAAUUAUUGGGCGUAAAGAGCUCGUAGGCGGUUCGUCGCGUCGGCUGUGAAAUCCCGAGGCUCAACCUCGGGUCUGCAGUCGAUACGGGCGAACUGGAGUUCGGCAGGGGAGACUGGAAUUCCUGGUGUAGCGGUGAAAUGCGCAGAUAUCAGGAGGAACACCGGUGGCGAAGGCGGGGUCUCUGGGCCGAUACUGACGCUGAGGAGCGAAAGCGUGGGGAGCGAACAGG